CCAAGAAAGUGAAGACCUGAGCAUAUAUAUAGGUUCGUGUAGAAACUUGGUGAAAUGUGGCUAGCACCAUAAUGAAGAUGAAACAGAAUGGACUUGAAGGAUUUGCUUGCGGUUCGAAGACGAAAUGGUGCAUUUGAGGAGGACUUUGAAACCUUUUUUAUGUGUAGUUCUUUUUGUAAUUUGAACAUAAUGAUCUCAGCUUGAAUUUGUAAAUAAAGUAGGCUUUUUGUAAUGAUUUUCUAUUUUCCAUGGGCUUGUAAUAAUUGGGGACCUUGGUAAUGGAUUUUGUAAAAUUUGAA